CAACGACAACAAAAAUGCCGAUAAUAAAGAAGACGAUAAAGACUCCAGAAACAAAAAAGAGAUCAUUUUUUCUUUGAUUUUUCUUGAGAUUAUAGCUGUUGAAAGUGAUAGUCCGAUUAAACUACUGUGUACCUAACAAAGUUAAGUAAAUAUAUCGCAAUUAUUGCUUAAUGUGUAAAAUUUCUUUUUACAUAGUUGGUUAUCCACGAAAAACCAAUAAUUGAUGACCCCGACAUCGUGAUCUUUGUGCAUCAAGAGCUUCUUUACUAAAAGAAAAAUGUAUCGGCGUCAGCCAUCCUGCCUCAUUAUGAAACACAAGGUGCAAAAAAAAAAAGAAAGUAAUAAAUAAUAAAUAUUAAAAAUUACAACAGAACAUCUGAAAAAAAAAAAAGAUAAACAAAUACCGAACACCAUAUUAAAAGCCAACAAUGUAUACACAGACCUAUUAAGAUUCGACGCGAACCUAAAUUAGAUCUCCACGAAUUCACGAUAAUGGCAAGUUAAACACAUUGAGAUAUCAGUGAUAAAGGAACUCAUUCUGAACAAACGUAUCAAAACAAUAACGGACAAGAGAUGCCAUUAAACACUUCAACAGUAUCAUCCAUCCCAUCAGUGUCAAUGGACAGGAACAACAGCAAAAAAAUACUUCUGGUAUGCAGAACCUGCACAACUAUAAUCAACUAUUAGCUCUUAACAACAUACGGUGUGACACUUAUCACUCGAUAAGUCAAUCUAAAUUCAUGACAUUCACAAAAACUCGACCGUAUUCUUAGUUCAAUUUGGUUGAAUCUAAAUUCACCAUUUAUGGAAUCAUCAAUGAUAAAGUAAAAUACCUGAUAGUCAUUAAGGCCUUGGAUCACAACAUGAUGGAGCAAUUUUCAAACAUAAUACGGCAGGAGCUCGCCACAGAUAAAUAUAAAAUUUUUAAGAAUGUGAUAAUCUCAGGACUUCCUGAUUUCAGGCACAACCAAAUAAAAAAACAUUUACGUAAGAUAAGACUUGCAAAGAGAACACCUUCUCAGUUUCUGUGAUACAUGCGCACAUUGGCUAGUAGUUUCAUUGAUAAUACCAUAUUGCAACAAAUUUUGGUUUGAACAAAUGCCAGCACAUAUCAAACCGUAUCUGAUUAAAGUAAGUGAACUUCCGCUUGAUAUUAUAGCCGUGUUUGCGGAUUAUUUUUACCAGCUGGUACCCAACAAUCUACAGAAUGACUUAGUCAUGAGAAUCUUCGCACCCUAUUUUGCAUUGACUCUUUUGUGUACUGACCCAAAGAUUAUGGAAAUUCAAAGAUCUUUUUUUAUGUAUAUGACAGAGAUCAUUGUUUAAAUUAACGCAAAAAAACAAACAACAGUAUCUAUAACAGCUCACAUUACUGCAACAACAAAAUCAACAACUGCAGUCCCAACAAUCUCCGAUGCACCAUAACUGCAGCAGACCAAGGUCAUUGAUAUCUGCACGCACUGACAUCUGUUAUUAUCACCAAAUGUUUGCCAACGAAACAAAACGCUGCAUCUUAUCUUGCAAAUUCGCUUCAACAACCACACUGACAAAUCAGGAAAAUUAACAUCGCUGUUUUCAGUAGGAACAGUGAAUGACAAUAACUCCAUACUAUUGGGUUGGCAACUAAAUGAUUGCGGAUUUUAAAUAAGAAGGAAAAUUCCAAAUUUUUGCUUAAAAAUAUAACUUUAUUCAAUUAGCCAAAAACUAAAUUAAAUGUGAUUUUACAUCACUAGCGUCAUUAAAAAUUUUACCAUUUAAGAAGUUCUACAUGGAACGAAAUAAAUAAAAAAACGUCCAACUAUACAUUUACGACAACACAACCAAACAGAAAUUCCUGAUUAAGUCUGGGUCGUACUGCCAUAUUACCUGCUAAAAGGUUUUGUAAAAAUCGAACCAGACCGAUUGUUCAUCACAAUAAAGCCAGGAUCUUCAUUCUAAAAGACUUUGACACCUGUCUUCAUAUAUUCCUGCGCUGUAAUUACGUGAAAGCUCCACUAGAAGCACUGUACAUUGGUCCAUAUAAGAUUAUAGACUGAAUAAGUGAUUGGAUAUUCAAAAUUAACAUUAACAGAGAAGAGAAAAAUAUUUCAAUAGACAGAUUGAAGCCUGCAUACAUCAGCAAGAUAGACAAUGAUCAACCGGACUCUUCACCAGAUCAACAAACCCAACCCCACAUCACUGGGAUUCCAUUACGGAUAAAUUUAAAUUAACUUAUACACGUAAAGUCAAUUUCAAACUUCUCAGAGAAACUCAUUCAGGGAGGAGUGGUUGUGCCAACCUCGUUGCGACUGUUACGCCUCCUUUGACAAGAGGAUAAUUAACACGCUAUAAUUAAUACGCCUUGGCGUCACCAAACACACACGUUGGAAACCUAUCAAAAAAAGAGAGAGACAACAAGAAGGAUAUUGGAAACAAAAGAAGUCUCUUAAAAUCAUCCAUCUUGAUCAUCGUUAAAAUUAAUUAUUGGAUUAAACUAUUGAUUAAACUACUGAUACCUGAUAAAGUUAAAUAAAUAUAUCUUAAUCAUUA